AGGUUGUAAUAGCGCAAUAAGGUUAGUAUUGUAAUUUCUCCCUCUUCUUUAUUUUUAUUUGUUUUGUUCCCAUCUUUAUUUUUAUUUUAUUUGUUUUGCAUGCAUGGUCGUAGGUCAUUAUUACCUAAUCUUGAACCUAUAGACCUUGAACUAGAAAAAACACUUCGCACACACAAGCACGUUAAAAAUAAAUUUGGAAUGGAUUUACAAGCACCACAGGAGAGGCCAUUUAAGGACUAUUUUAGUCCCUUAGCUAAUUUGAGCACAUCACGAUAAACCCUUAACACCAUAUUGAUUAGAGUGUGGUUCAUGAGGUGUGGAUUCCCCCCUUAUGAUUAAUUGGCAUUAAUAAGGAAUAUUUAGCCCAUGGUGCAUGUUAAUGCGAAUCCAGAUACCCAAGUACGUCAAUUUAAUAGACUUUCACUUCAAUUUAUUCUUGCCAUCUUAAUUCAAAAUUUAGGAUAAUCCAAAUCACUUUCACCACAAAUCCAACCACACAUUCAUACAAAAUUAAUUCUACAUAUAAUUAAAAUUCACCUCCUCGUGGGAUCGACACUCGUCUCCAUUAAUCUAUUCGACAAUAGAUUCGUGCACUUGCGAGUUCAAUAAAAUUUGCACAACAGCGAGUCAUUCUUACAUGAGAAAAUGGACAUGAAAUUUGGAUUUUAAGGACUAAAAAACCCUUUGAAAGAGUUGUUAGAAUUUAUCACAUCUGUUAGCCCUUCAAUUUUAUACUAAUGUUUCUAGAAGGCUGAGAUCGCGCCAUGUGUCUGAGCUCAGAAGUGUCUCAUUGCAUUAUAUUCAACACACUUAUUAGUUCAACCAUCGUGACAAAAAUGUCCCUUUGAGGGUCUCUAUUUGACUUUAUUUGUAGUUAUAAAUUCAGUUGAAUCUAAUGCUCCAUAUGCAUCACAUUAGCUACAAGUCCAGACCAUUGGAUUGUAUCAUUAACGUUCAUCUAAAGGUUGUAGUUUCAUGCUUACCAAAAUUACCAUGCAAAUGUUGACACAUACUGAAGAUCACAAUUUUCCUAUAUAAAGACAAGGUGGUUCACUAGUUUUGAGUGUGGAGUUAAGAUGUGAGUGUCGAGAGUGUUUGUGUAAAGGUUGUGAUGAAUUUUAGGAAACAAAUGUAGUUAAUAAAAGGAUGUGGGAAAAAAUGAGUUUUUCUCUUCUCUCUUUUGCUUUCAAUUUUCAUGUAUUGUACAUUUACAAUUUACUUUAUCAAACAAAAUGAGUGUUUUGUUUAUCAACAUAAGUGGUUAAUUUUCUAAGUUACGAUGAAGGAUGUAACCCAAAGGUUCAAAUUGUGGAUCUAA
rnacentral:lncRNA from 1 species